rnacentral:tRNA from 1 species
GGGGUUGUAGUUCAGUGGUAGAGCGCUUGCCUAGCAUGUGUGAGCUAGAGCUUGCCUAGCACUGGGUUCUAUCCUCAGCACCACA